GACAGAGGGGGCAAGCGUUGCUCGGAAUUACUGGGCGUAAAGGGCGCGUAGGCGGGAUGGCAAGUCGGUCGUGAAAUCCCUCGGCUCAACUGAGGAUCGUCGAUCGAUACUGCCGUUCUUGAGGAUUGCAGAGGAGACUGGAAUUCCCGGUGUAGCGGUGAAAUGUGUAGAGAUCGGGAGGAACACUGGUGGCGAAGGCGGGUCUCUGGGCAAUUCCUGACGCUGAGGCGCGAAAGCGUGGGGAGCAAACGGG
rnacentral:rRNA from 1 species